AAGACUGCUUCAUUAGUUAAAACUGCCACCAAGUUUUGCUUGGAUUGAAAAUCGAGGUUCUUACACCCAACCUUGCCAAGAACGGAGAAACCAGCCAUGGCAGCAGGUUAGAAGCCACCAAAGUCCCCAUCUCCUCCUAUUGCCGAACAUAGAAGCUUGGGCUUUGGAGUUUAGAUUGACCUUGGUUCACUCUAAGGUUUGGAAUUAAGAAAGAGUAGAGGAUUGGAGCUGGAGUUGAUAGAAAACCUUUGUCAGUUGAAAGGUGGGAUUUGCGCGGUACAUAAAUUGAGGAAGAAGGAUUUGGGGUGAAGGUUGUUGACUGGGUAAUGAUCAAAUUGAGGCAGACUUGACGCUGGAAUGGUGUAGUUACAGGGGGCUUGCUUCCCAGAAGUAUGCUUGGAUAGCCAGCAUGCUAUUUAUAAAACCUAGUGGGGUUGAGCUCCUUUUUUGGGUGACGAACGAAUGUGAUGCUCACCCCUACUUUCCUCUCAGAAACUGAGCAGGAGCCAGCAGAGGAUCAGGCUUAGACACUUGGGUGUUGUCAUCAUCAAGUUGUAAAUAACUUCUUUUGGACUUGACUGUUGGUUUGGCAGGUGUUGAUCAAUCUCUCUUCUUUUGAAAUUGUGAAUGUGAUAUUGUUUUUCUUUGGGAACC